UACGUAGGGUGCAAGCGUUAAUCGGAAUUACUGGGUGUAAAGGGUCCGCAGGCGGUUAAGCAAGUCAGUUCUUAAAUCCUCUGGCUCAACCAGAGAAGUGGAACUGAUACUGCUUAGCUAUGAGUCCAGAGGGGGGAAACGGAACUGCCGGUGUAGCGGUGAAAUGCGUAGAUAUCGGCAGGAACACCCGUGGCGAAGGCGGUUUCCUACUCUGGUACUGACGCUCAUGGACGAAAGCGUGGGGAGCGAUCGGGAUUAGAAA
rnacentral:rRNA from 1 species